rnacentral:tRNA from 2 species
GCCGACUUAGCUCAAUUGGUAGAGCAACUGAAUCGUAAUCAGUAGGUUGCGGGUUCAAUUCCUGUAGUCGGCACCA